CCUACGGGAGGCAGCAGUGAGGAAUAUUGGUCAAUGGACGAGAGUCUGAACCAGCCAAGUAGCGUGAAGGAUGACUGCCCUAUGGGUUGUAAACUUCUUUUAUAUGGGAAUAAAAUGUUCCACGUGUGGGAUUUUGUAUGUACCAUAUGAAUAAGGAUCGGCUAACUCCGUGCCAUCAGCCGCGGUAAUACGGGGGAUCCGAGCGUUAUCCGGAUUUAUUGGGUUUAAAGGGAGCGUAGGGGGAUUGUUAAGUCAGUUGUGAAAGUUUGCGGCUCAACCGGAAAAUUGCAGUUGAAACUGGCAGUCUUGAGUACAGUAGAGGUGGGCGGAAUUCGUGGUGUAGCGGUGAAAUGCUUAGAUAUCACGAAGAACUCCGAUUGCGAAGGCAGCUCACUGGACUGCAACUGACACUGAGGCUCGAAAGUGUGGGUAUCAAACAGGAUUAGAUACCCCAGUGUC
rnacentral:rRNA from 1 species